CCUACGGGUGGCAGCAGUAGGGAAUAUUGCUCAAUGGGGGAAACCCUGAAGCAGCAACGCCGCGUGGAGGAUGAAGGUUUUCGGAUUGUAAACUCCUUUUGUUAGAGAAGACAAUGACGGUAUCUAACGAAUAAUCACCGGCCAACUCCGUUCCAGCAGCCGCGGUAAUACGGAGGGCGCAAGCGUUAUUCGGAAUCACUGGGCGUAAAGGGCGCGUAGGCGGGAUAGCAAGUCAGAUGUGAAAUCCUUUGGCUUAACCAUAGAACUGCAUUUGAAACUGUUAUUCUAGAGUAUGGGAGAGGUAGGUGGAAUUCUUGGUGUAGAGGUGAAAUCCGUAGAGAUCAAGAGGAAUACUCAUUGCGAAGGCGGCCUGCUAGAACAUAACUGACGCUGAUGCGCGAAAGCGUGGGGAGCAAACAGGAUUAGAUACCCUAGUAGUC
rnacentral:rRNA from 1 species